GAUGAAGAACGUAGCGAAAUGCGAUACUUGGUGUGAAUUGCAGAAUCCCGUGAACCAUCGAGUCUUUGAAUGCAAGUUGCGCCCGAAGCCAUUAGGCCGAGGGCACGCCUGCCUGGGCGUCACACGUCGUUGCCCCCCCAUCUACUCCUUCGGGAUUGCGGGGGGCGGAUGAUGGCCUCCCGUGCGCCUCGUCGCGCGGUUGGCAUAAAUGCCAAGUCCUCGGCGACGCACGCCACGACAAUCGGUGGUUGCGAAACCUCGGUUGCCCGUCGUGUGCGGUCGUCGCGCAUCGAGGGCUCGAAAAAAUUGCCGGGCUCCGGCUCGGCUUUCAACGCGACCCCAGGUCAGGCGGGGUUACCCGCUGAAUUUAAGCAUAUCAAUAAGCGGAGGA
rnacentral:misc_RNA from 1 species